rnacentral:rRNA from 1 species
GACGAACGCUGGCGGCGUGCUUAACACAUGCAAGUCGAACGGGCCUUGUCCCCUUUUUUUUUGGGGGUGGGGUUAGUGGCGAACGGGUGAGUAACACGUGAGUAACCUGCCCCUCACUUCUGGAUAACCGCUUGAAAGGGUGGCUAAUACGGGGUGUUCUGGCCUGCUCGCAUGGGUGGGUUUGGAAAGAUUGGACCGGUUUUGGUUGUUUUGGGGGGGGAUGGGCUCGCGGCCUAUCAGCCUGUUGGUGGGGUGAUGGCCUGCAAGGGCUUUGACGGGUGGCGGGCGUGAGAGGGUGGGCGGUCACAGUGAGACUGAGACACGGCCCAGACUCCUACGGGAGGCAGCAGUGGGGAAUAGUGCAAAAGGGGCGAAAGCCUGAUGCAGCGACGCCGCGUGAGGGAUGGAGGCCUUGGGGUUGUGAACCUCUUUCGCCAGGGAAAAAGGUCCUGCUCUUUGUGGUGGGGUUGACGGUAGCUGGGUUAAUGAAGCGCCGGCUAACUACGUG